CAGCAGCAGCCGCGGGAAUACGGAGGGAGCUAGCGUUAUUCGGAAUUACUGGGCGUAAAGCGCACGUAGGCGGCUUUGUAAGUAAGAGGUGAAAGCCCAGAGCUCAACUCUGGAAUUGCCUUUUAGACUGCAUCGCUUGAAUCAUGGAGAGGUCAGUGGAAUUCCGAGUGUAGAGGUGAAAUUCGUAGAUAUUCGGAAGAACACCAGUGGCGAAGGCGGCUGACUGGACAUGUAUUGACGCUGAGGUGCGAAAGCGUGGGGAGCAAACAGGAUUAGAUACCCGAGUAGUCCCUGUCUCUUAUAC
rnacentral:rRNA from 1 species